rnacentral:tRNA from 1 species
GGGGAUUUAGCUUAGUGGUAGAGCGCUUGCCUAGCAAACGCAAGGGCCUGGGUUCGGUCCCCAGCUCCG